UACGGAGGGUGCAAGCGUUAUCCGGAUUUACUGGGUUUAAAGGGUGUGUAGGCGGACUUUUAAGUCCGUGGUGAAAUCUCCGGGCUCAACCCGGAAACUGCCAUGGAUACUAUUGGUCUUGAAUGUUGUUGAGGUGGGCGGAACGGGUCAUGUAGCGGUGAAAUGCAUAGAUAUGACCCGGAACACCGAUUGCGAAGGCAGCCCACUAAGCAAUGAUUGACGCUGAGGCACGAAAGCGUGGGGAGUCAAACAGGAAUUAAGAGU
rnacentral:rRNA from 1 species